GGGGACCCGCAAGCGGUGGAUGAUGUGGAUUAAUUCGAUGCAACGCGAAAAACCUUACCUACCCUUGACAUGUACGGAAGCCUUGAGAGAUCAGGGUGUGCUCGAAAGAGAGCCGUAACACAGGUGCUGCAUGGCUGUCGUCAGCUCGUGUCGUGAGAUGUUGGGUUAAGUCCCGCAACGAGCGCAACCCUUGUCAUUAGUUGCUACGAAAGGGCACUCUAAUGAGACUGCCGGUGACAAACCGGAGGAAGGUGGGGAUGACGUCAAGUCCUCAUGGCCCUUAUGGGUAGGGCUUCACACGUCAUACAAUGGUACAUACAGAGGGCCGCCAACCCGCGAGGGGGAGCUAAUCCCAGAAAGUGUAUCGUAGUCCGGAUCGCAGUCUGCAACUCGACUGCGUGAAGUUGGAAUCGCUAGUAAUCGCGGAUCAGCAUGUCGCGGUGAAUACGUUCCCGGGUCUUGUACACACC
rnacentral:rRNA from 1 species